rnacentral:sRNA from 1 species
CUCUAGCGACAUGGCUAAUUUUUUUUGGCAUAAAAAAUAUAGUCUGAAUAUUAAGCAUUGAUUUAGUACCCAUGGUAUCACAGGUAUUAUACAGAACACAAGGCAAAUGAUAAUCAGGUGUAAGCAUAAAAGCAUUCUCAUGUUACCUAGAUAUUUUAUAAAGCAAAGCUAUUGUAUACCCUUUUGCUUAGGAAAUUGAAGCUCAAGAAGGUGAAGAUGAUACCUUUCUAACAGCCCAAGAUGGUGAGGAAGAAGAAAAUGAGAAAGGUAUGUUUGAUGCUAGAGUUUAAAAAUUGCUAAAAUUUAGAAAAACAGUAAAUUAUGUAAAAAUAAAGCACUCCUUAUUUGAAAUCUUAUUUUUGAAAUUAGUUUAUUUUCAAAUUUAUCUAUUUGGUGGAUUAAGUUAGCAUCUUGAUUUUAUUUUCCAAUUGGUUUUAAUUUUCUUUUGAACACUAAAGAUAUAUUGCAACUAAAUAGUACAUAUCAGUUACUGUAGUGAACAAUGCUAUUUUUUAUUUAACCCAAUUUUAAUUUUAUUUUUAAAAUAACUUCUGGUAUACGGU